GACGUAGGGCGCGAGCGUUGUCCGGAUUUAUUGGGCGUAAAGAGCUCGUAGGCGGCUUGUCACGUCGGAUGUGAAAGCCCGGGGCUUAACUCCGGGUCUGCAUUCGAUACGGGCAGGCUGGAGUUCGGUAGGGGAGACUGGAAUUCCUGGUGUAGCGGUGAAAUGCGCAGAUAUCAGGAGGAACACCGGUGGCGAAGGCGGGUCUCUGGGCCGAUACUGACGCUGAGGAGCGAAAGCGUGGGGAGCGAACAGG
rnacentral:rRNA from 1 species